rnacentral:misc_RNA from 1 species
UGCUCUUGGGUGGGGUUGCAUUUUUUUGCAAAUGUGUUUGGCUUAAGAAUUUUUUAUGGGAUGAUGUUUUAAAAGCCGAUUCUUGUGUUGGCAGUGGAUAUCUUAAUUUUCUUCCUCUAUUACCCUUCCCCUAAAACAAAAGCCAGUCAAUUCUUUACCCACAUCCUCUAUCUGUACAUUUGAAGGCCUUCAAAUCCCUUUUUUAACUACCUAAUUGUUCUUUCUAUUAUUGAUUGAUUUGUUGCUCUGCUGUGAAAGUUCUUACUUUCUUUGAUGUUGUUCUCCUCUUAUGCGGGUCUUGAAUCUACAAUGCAACACAAGAGACACUUGUGGGUUGGUGGGCAAUCUCCUCGAUACUUAAGUUAGUGUGAGAACUGAUAAAGAAUCAGUGGAAUUAAGUUGAGAUAUGUGUACCUGGUAACCCUUUAUAUGGGCUUUGGAUUUG